AUGCCAUGCCCCUUUAACCGGACAUGCAUCAUACUUGAUUGUGCAUCAUGCCAUGUUUAUGCUUGUUGGUUUACCAUGUUGCUUCCUUCUUUCUGGGUUGCUUCUCUCGUAAGCUUCGGUUUCAUUCCGAAGUUGGGAGGAUUUGUUCGACUACAUUGGGUCGUCUACUUCUUGGACUCGUUCUUCUUCCUCGCAGGAUUUCAGUCAGGCCAGUGGACUACUUUGAGUAAAGAUCCUCAUUUAAAGAAUGCAGCAUCAGCCUCCCGACAUGAUUCUCAAGAAACAACAAGGCUAGAUGAAGAUAGUAAAGUUUAA
rnacentral:rRNA from 1 species